rnacentral:rRNA from 1 species
UACGAAGGGGGCUAGCGUUGCUCGGAAUGACUGGGCGUAAAGGGCGCGUAGGCGGUUCGUACAGUCAGACGUGAAAUUCCCGGGCUCAACCUGGGGGCUGCGUUUGAUACGUACGGGCUUGAGUUCGGAAGAGGGUCGUGGAAUUCCCAGUGUAGAGGUGAAAUUCGUAGAUAUUGGGAAGAACACCGGUGGCGAAGGCGGCGACCUGGUCCGAUACUAACGCUGAGGCGCGAAAGCGUGGGGAGCAAACAGG